rnacentral:rRNA from 1 species
AGUGAACGCUGGCGGUAGGCCUAACACAUGCAAGUCGAACGGCAGCACAGUAAGAGCUUGCUCUUACGGGUGGCGAGUGGCGGACGGGUGAGGAAUACAUCGGAAUCUACUUUUUCGUGGGGGAUAACGUAGGGAAACUUACGCUAAUACAGCAUACGACCUACGGGUGAAAGCAGGGGAUCUUCGGACCUUGCGCGAUUGAAUGAGCCGAUGUCGGAUUAGAUAGUUGGCGGGGUAAAGGCCCACCAAGGCGACGAUCCGUAGCUGGUCUGAGAGGAUGAUCAGCCACACUGGAACUGAGACACGGUCCAGACUCCUACGGGAGGCAGCAGUGGGGAAUAUUGGACAAUGGGCGCAAGCCUGAUCCAGCCAUACCGCGUGGGUGAAGAAGGCCUUCGGGUUGUAAAGCCCUUUUGUUGGGAAAGAAAAGCAGCAGGUUAAUACCCCGCUGUUCUGACGGUACCCAAAGAAUAAGCACCGGCUAACUUCGUG